CAUGAUUAUGAGAUGAUCUUUACAGUGUUAUGACAAUGUCUUACUUUUUGUCUAUAAUUGUACGAGGCUAUCAUGUGAAUUACUAAACGAUAUGAACUUAAUGUCUACGUAUGGAAAAAAUGUUUAAAGGAGAAAGUAUGAUUAUUUUUGAACUCUUCCACUCAUUGAGCUAUCAACUCAUAUUUUGCUAAAAUUAUUUUUACAUGUAGUAUUGGUCCUUGAUAGCUUGAGGACAUGGUGAUUUCAAAGUUAGAGCCACACGACAUGUUGAAGAAUAUGAGUCAAUUUGAUUAAACCACGAAGUAAAGUUUUGGGCCCAUUUAUAAACAUUUGAUUUUAUUGCAUAUCUUGUAGUAACUCAUAGUGAGCCUUCGUGAUGGAGUUGACAUCUAGUCAACAUCUAUUAUCGACGCACACCAUGUUUUGGGUCCACUAGGGUGAUUCGGGAUGGGUCGUGUCAAUAUUCAUAUUACUUAUACUCAUAGCAUGCAUGAUUUUUAUUUAUUGGACGUUGACUUAUGUAGUUAUUGCAUGGUAGGUAAGAAUGUAACUUCAUGGAAAGUAUGGCUAGCUGUGAAGCUCUUGCUGGAUUUCGAAGUUUGAUGUACAUGGAUGACGACUUCUAGGGUUAUCUUGUGGGCUAUUGUUUUAGUCUUAUAAUCUAUUGUAUUAUAUUUGGAGAAUUUUGUACUAUAUAUAUGACUUUUGAAAUGGCAUGAUAGAUACUUUUGGAACCCUCAAAAUAAAUAUGUUGAAAUUUAGUUAUACAGUAUUUGGUCAUAACAUACCAUAUGUGCAUCAUAGGUAACUAGGCGAGAGACCUUAUUGUGAAGAUGCUUAUUUCAUUUUAUCUGGCAAAAAAAAUAUGAAAUCCUUUGUCUAGG
rnacentral:lncRNA from 1 species